AAAAAAAACCUCUAGCGAGCUGUGCGCCGCCCGUACCCCAAACCGACUCAGGUGAUCAGGUAGAGAAUACCAAGGCGAUCGAGUGAACCAUGGUUAAGGAACUCGGCAAAAUGCCCCCGUAACUUCGGGAGAAGGGGGGCCGGAUACGUAAAGGGACUUGCUCCCGGAAGCGUUGAUGGCCGCAGAGACCAGGCCCAAGCGACUGUUUACUAAAAACACAGGUCCGUGCUAAGUCGCAAGACGAUGUAUACGGACUGACUCCUGCCCGGUGCUGGAAGGUUAAGGGGACGGGUUAGCUCUUCGGAGCGAAGCUCAGAACUUAAGCCCCAGUAAACGGCGGUGGUAACUAUAACCAUCCUAAGGUAGCGAAAUUCCUUGUCGGGUAAGUUCCGACCUGCACGAAUGGAGUAACGACUUGGGCGCUGUCUCAACCGUGGACUCGGCGAAAUUGCACUACGAGUAAAGAUGCUCGUUACGCGCGGCAGGACGGAAAGACCCCGGGACCUUUACUACAAUUUGGUAUUGGUGUUUGGUUCGGCUUGUGUAGGAUAGGUGGGAGACUUUGAAGCAGGGACGCCAGUUCUUGUGGAGUCAACGUUGAAAUACCACUCUGGUCGUACUAGAUAUCUAACCUAGGUCCGUUAUCCGGAUCAGGGACUGUGCCUGAUGGGUAGUUUAACUGGGGCGGUUGCCUCCUAAAAUGUAACGGAGGCGCUCAAAGGUUCCCUCAGCCUGGUUGGCAAUCAGGUUUUGAGUGUAAGUGCACAAGGGAGCUUGACUGUGAGAGUGACAACUCAAGCAGGGACGAAAGUCGGAACUAGUGAUCCGGCGCUGGCAUGUGGAAGCGGCGUCGCUCAACGGAUAAAAGGUACCCCGGGGAUAACAGGCUGAUCUUCCCCAAGAGUCCAUAUCGACGGGAUGGUUUGGCACCUCGAUGUCGGCUCGUCGCAUCCUGGGGCUGGAGUAGGUCCCAAGGGUUGGGCUGUUCGCCCAUUAAAGCGGCACGCGAGCUGGGUUUAGAACGUCGUGAGACAGUUCGGUCCCUAUCCGCCGUGCGCGUAAGAGACUUGAGAAAGGCUGUCCCUAGUACGAGAGGACCGGGAUGGACGAACCUCUGGUGUGCCAGUUGUCCUGCCAAGGGCACGGCUGGUUAGCUACGUUCGGAAGUGAUAACCGCUGAAAGCAUCUAAGCGGGAAGCACGUUUCAAGAUGAGGUCUCUCACCGGGUUAACCGGGUAAGGCCCCCAGUAGACGACUGGGUUGAUAGGCCGGAGGUAGAAGGUGGUAACACACGGAGCCGACCGGUACUAAUAGGCCGAGGGCUUGUCUU
rnacentral:rRNA from 1 species